rnacentral:rRNA from 1 species
GACGAACGCUGGCGGCGUGCCUAAUACAUGCAAGUCGUACGCUUCUUUUUCCACCGGAGCUUGCUCCACCGGAAAAAGAAGAGUGGCGAACGGGUGAGUAACACGUGGGUAACCUGCCCAUCAGAAGGGGAUAACACUUGGAAACAGGUGCUAAUACCGUAUAACAAUCGAAACCGCAUGGUUUUGAUUUGAAAGGCGCUUUCGGGUGUCGCUGAUGGAUGGACCCGCGGUGCAUUAGCUAGUUGGUGAGGUAACGGCUCACCAAGGCCACGAUGCAUAGCCGACCUGAGAGGGUGAUCGGCCACAUUGGGACUGAGACACGGCCCAAACUCCUACGGGAGGCAGCAGUAGGGAAUCUUCGGCAAUGGACGAAAGUCUGACCGAGCAACGCCGCGUGAGUGAAGAAGGUUUUCGGAUCGUAAAACUCUGUUGUUAGAGAAGAACAAGGAUGAGAGUAACUGUUCAUCCCUUGACGGUAUCUAACCAGAAAGCCACGGCUAACUACGUGCCAGCAGCCGCGGUAAUACGUAGGUGGCAAGCGUUGUCCGGAUUUAUUGGGCGUAAAGCGAGCGCAGGCGGUUUCUUAAGUCUGAUGUGAAAGCCCCCGGCUCAACCGGGGAGGGUCACUGGAAACUGGGAGACUUGAGUGCAGAAGAGGAGAGUGGAAUUCCAUGUGUAGCGGUGAAAUGCGUAGAUAUAUGGAGGAACACCAGUGGCGAAGGCGGCUCUCUGGUCUGUAACUGACGCUGAGGCUCGAAAGCGUGGGGAGCAAACAGGAUUAGAUACCCUGGUAGUCCACGCCGUAAACGAUGAGUGCUAAGUGUUGGAGGGUUUCCGCCCUUCAGUGCUGCAGCUAACGCAUUAAGCACUCCGCCUGGGGAGUACGACCGCAAGGUUG